rnacentral:lncRNA from 1 species
CCAAUCAAAGACAACUAUCCACCUCUACUCGUGGAUAUUGUUGGAGAGACAAAGGAACAGUUAUUAGACACCUGGGGAGACCCCCUCCCGAGUCAGAAAAUGUGACUUUCCAUGGCCUGUGAUACGACACAUGUUGAGGUCCAUCUGGAAGCUGUCUACGUCAUCGGCCCCAGCAGUGCUGACUGAUAUGAAACCCUGGCCAGUCACCUUUAGAAACCAGUAUGUUUAAGUGGACAGAGCUGUGAUUUCCACACUGGCUAACCAGAGAGCAGCCCGGGCUGCUUUAGAGAAACACCAGGGAGAGGGUCUGGUGCCAGGGCUUUUGAAAGGGACUCCACUGACUCAGGUUUUCUUGCUAGAUUUAAAAAUAUAUUCACUAAAGGCCAAAAAAUGAUAUGAUGUAGGACAUUACCAGCUCAUACCAGUUUGAAAGGUUGGACUGAGUUGAAAGAUGCCUCUGAAAACUGAUGUCCACCC